AGAAUACAGUUAUUUUUUAUCUUCAACAUCGCAACAGCGUUUCCACGAAUCCUACGACCAAUUUAAUAUAGCGUGAGACAGGCGAACAGGAAAUAUUUAAAGUUAUAACUCUCACAAAAGCGGUACGAAAUUAAUUGUUAACUAACGUUAAGACAAAAAAAUGUCAUAUUCUAUAAAAACAAUGGGCAGUGUAGACGAUGAACGCUAAGAUUUCGCAUGACACAUUGACACCUUUGCGGUCUUUGCCACACGAAUCCUAGAAAUGUCCUCUUGAAUUCUC